UACCAGCACCCCGAGGGGGCGGGACGUUUAUUGGGCCUAAAGCAUCCGUAGCCGGUUCUACAAGUCUUCCGUUAAAUCCACCUGCUUAACAGAUGGGCUGCGGAAGAUACUAUGGAGCUAGGAGGCGGGAGAGGCAAGCGUUACUCGAUGGGUAGGGGUAAAAUCCGUUGAUCCAUUGAAGACCACCAGUGGCGAAGGCGGCUUGCCAGAACGCGCUCGACGGUGAGGGAUGAAAGCUGGGGGAGCAAACCGG
rnacentral:rRNA from 1 species